rnacentral:rRNA from 1 species
GUCCACGCCGUAAACUAUGCGUGUUGGACGUUGGCGAGCCUAGCUCGUCGGUGUCGCAGCUAACGCGUUAAACACGCCGCCUGGGGAGUACGGCCGCAAGGUUAAAACUCAAAGGAAUUGACGGGGGCCCGCACAAGCGGUGGAGCAUGUGGUUUAAUUCGAUGCAACGCGCAGAACCUUACCAGGCCUUGACAUGGGGGUUAUGGGUCGGAGAAAUCUGAUCCUUCAGUUCGGCUGGGCCCCACACAGGUGCUGCAUGGCUGUCGU